rnacentral:rRNA from 1 species
CUGAUCAGCAUGCCGCGUGUAUGAGAAGGCCUUCGGGUUGUAAAGUACUUUUGUUAGGGAAGAAAAGGGAAGUGCUAAUACCACUUUUUGCUGACGGUACCUAAAGAAUAAGCACCGGCUAACUACGUGCCAGCAGCCGCGGUAAUACGUAGGGUGCGAGCGUUAAUCGGAAUUACUGGGCGUAAAGCGAGCGCAGACGGUUAUUUAAGCAGGAUGUGAAAUCCCCGGGCUCAACCUGGGAACUGCGUUCUGAACUGGAUAGCUAGAGUGUGUCAGAGGGGGGUAGAAUUCCACGUGUAGCAGUGAAAUGCGUAGAGAUGUGGAGGAAUACCGAUGGCGAAGGCAGCCCCCUGGGAUAACACUGACGUUCAUGCUCGAAAGCGUGGGUAGCAAACA